ensembl:lncRNA
AUCUCUCUGGAGAUUCCUGUGUACCUGAGGUCUUCUAAAGAUGCUGUGUGUGGGUGGGAACCACCUUAUAGAAAUCUGCUGCAGAGAAACUGCCUGAGCACAGAUGGCGUGCAGAGAUCCAGCAGCAAUGUCUGAGUGAUUCACAGCCCUGCGUUGCUCGCGUUAGCUCAUGCCAGAUGAAUCCAACUGCCUACAGCAGAGCUGUAGCAUAAAACAGGCGAUAACAGCACAGCAUGGAGGAUACCUGAAUUCCAGAGGCAAAUCCCUUAUGCGGCCCCGCUGCAUAAUGAACAAAGAAACCACCAAAUGCCAAGCAGAUUAGUAAAACAAGGCAGAAAGAAAUGCACAGUGAGUCAUAAGAUUAGCUCAGGAAGGAGAAGCAGGGCAGAACUAUUAGCAGUUAGAUCUCCAGGUAGAAAACAGCACCCUGGGUCUGUUUGGAGGGUGUGGAUCAAGCCCUGGCAGGUGGGAACAUGGCUGGGUCAGUACCAGGGCUGUCUGUCCACUUGCACUGCUAUGAAACCAGCAGCUUUGUCCAUCCUCAGUCUGAGAAAGGAGAGGGAGGAGAACCCCCAUGCCUUACAGGAGCAGUUUGGGCGCAAAGCGUGCACCCAGAAGGAAUACCUGGGAAAUGGUGAACAGAACUCAGGUGGGUGCAGAAGGGGUGGCUCUCUGCUCCUGCAGGGCACAGCUCUGCCCUCUCACUGACCAAAACUAAUGCCCAUCUCCCUCCAGCUAUUGCCUCCUGCACUGUGGUUGGGAGAGCAAUGCCUCUGAUCUGCCUGGCUUUGGGUGAGGCCUGGGCAGGAGUACCAGAGGGAUGAGGGCUGGGUUUUAUGCAAAGCGUAACACUGCAGCCAGCUCUGGGUUUGAUUCAGAAUUUUAGAGCCCCACCAGUGCUCGGUGGUAACCCCAGAUCUGUGCAUGUCCCUAUGCUGCUCUGAGGCCCAUUUCCCAGUGCCCCCAAGGCCCUCACUGUUCCCUGCCAGCCCCACAGCUCAGUGCACACAGCUGUGCCAGUGCCUGUUCUGUUCCAUUGCCAUGAGCUGACGGAUGGGGCAGGUAGGAGCUGCUCCUGAUCAUUGCAGUGUGUGGGAGUCUGGGGGCAGCAUGGAGAGACUCCUUGGGACUGCGAGGUCUCCCUACAGACCAAGCAGUUGCACUUUGUGUCCCACUGUCCCACUCCCUGGCAGUGAUUUCUCCUUUGCUGCCUGAGGUUAAGAUAACACGUUAGCCCAUAUAAUGCAGGUGUGUGCCCCUGAGCCAGGCAUGGCUCAUGUUACCUGUUCAGCCAGGAGCCUGCAGUGCCCCUCUGCCCACAGUGAGCUGUGAAGAGUGGCUGUCGCCUACCAGAGUGAGGGAGAGAAGUGUAAAAGUGAAAACUCAACGGGCCGAGUCCUGCAGGAACCGAGGGCCUGGUCCUACCACGCAGGAGUCUGCCACUCAAAGAGACUUUUGUUCCUGUCACAGCCCAUGUAAAAAAA